rnacentral:tRNA from 1 species
CAAACUGUCUUUUAGGAAGGUUAUUGGUUACGUCAAUAUAAGAACUGUGCAAUUCAGUUGUGUUUGA